UGCGUAGGCGGUUUAUUAAGUCAGUGGUGAAAUCCCCGAGCUCAACUUGGGAACUGCGUUUGAAACUAUCAAGCUAGAAUAUGUCAGAGGGGGGUAGAAUUCCACGUGUAGCAGUGAAAUGCGUAGAGAUGUGGAGGAAUACCAAUGGCGAAGGCAGCCCCCUGGGAUAAUAUUGACGCUCAUGCACGAAAGCGUGGGGAGCAAACAGGAUUAGAUACCCCCGUA
rnacentral:rRNA from 1 species